rnacentral:rRNA from 1 species
UAGAGUUUGAUCCUGGCUCAGAUUGAACGCUGGCGGCAGGCCUAACACAUGCAAGUCGAGCGGAUGAGGAGCUUGCUCCUGGAUUCAGCGGCGGACGGGUGAGUAAUGCCUAGGAAUCUGCCUGGUAGUGGGGGACAACGUUUCGAAAGGAACGCUAAUACCGCAUACGUCCUACGGGAGAAAGCAGGGGACCUUCGGGCCUUGCGCUAUCAGAUGAGCCUAGGUCGGAUUAGCUAGUUGGUGAGGUAAUGGCUCACCAAGGCGACGAUCCGUAACUGGUCUGAGAGGAUGAUCAGUCACACUGGAACUGAGACACGGUCCAGAUCCUACGGGAGGCAGCAGUGGGGAAUAUUGGACAAUGGGCGAAAGCCUGAUCCAGCCAUGCCGCGUGUGUGAAGAAGGUCUUCGGAUUGUAAAGCACUUUAAGUUGGGAGGAAGGGUUGUAGAUUAAUACUCUGCAAUUUUGACGUUACCGACAGAAUAAGCACCGGCUAACUCUGUGCCAGCAGCCGCGGUAAUACAGAGGGUGCAAGCGUUAAUCGGAAUUACUGGGCGUAAAGCGCGCGUAGGUGGUUUGUUAAGUUGGAUGUGAAAUCCCCGGGCUCAACCUGGGAACUGCAUCCAAAACUGGCAAGCUAGAGUAUGGUAGAGGGUGGUGGAAUUUCCUGUGUAGCGGUGAAAUGCGUAGAUAUAGGAAGGAACACCAGGCGAAGGCGACCACC